CCCUUCUGCAUUAACAGAAGUCUGCUAUAAUUGUGUGAUCCAGAUUUUAUCUGUUUUAUGCAAUGAUGCUAGCAGAGUAUUGCGCGGAAGGAGAUUAUUGUGCACUAUACUGAAAAUGAGAUGUGGUCGAACCUCUUUCUUAAUGUUCAUUGGCCUCUUUCUCAAGGUGCAGUGCCACAAUU
ensembl:snoRNA